GCUGUAAGGAGAACCAAAAAAGAACGAGAGGAACCAGAGAUUAGAGAUAAGCAGUUAGAAAGUACACAUGGAAAUUUCUGGAUGGAACUAGACCUUAUUACUUUUCGUAGAAAUUAAAGCUCUACUUCAAUAAUCAAAAUUAUGGGAAAAUUAAUAAUAAAAAAAAAGAUAUUUAAUAAUCACAAGUUGAACUACAGAAAAAAUGUGCAACGGAAAAAGAACGCUCCCAAGUCUGGAAGGAGGAUAUUUUGGAUAUCACAGAAAUCACAGAAAGAAGCACAAUGCCUUUGCUUCUCUUGUGAUGUCAUCAUUACUGGGAAUCGGUCGGAGCAAUUAUACAAUCAGGCCCGGCCCGGCCCGGCCCCGUCCGGCGCUGCGAGCAUUAUAUCGGCUGUUCGUCUCGGCUGUGCAUAUAUCCCCAUUAAAGUGACAGUGGCGGGGCAUCAAUUCAGUGUUUUCUCGUCUUGUUUUUCUUGCGUGGAGGAUAAAUCUGAAAUAAAAUAAAAUAUCAUCAUGCAUAUAAA